GUCUAAGGCCAUACCACCCUGAACGCGCCUGAUCUCGUCUGAUCUCGGAAGCUAAGCAGGGUUGGGCCUGGUUAGUACUUGGAUGGGAGACCACCUGGGAAUACCAAUGCUGUAGGCU
rnacentral:rRNA from 1 species